rnacentral:rRNA from 1 species
UACGUAGGGUGCAAGCGUUGUCCGGAAUUAUUGGGCGUAAAGGGCUCGUAGGCGGUCCAUCACGUCGGGAGUGAAAAGCUGGGGCUUAACCCCAGUCCUGCUUCCGAUACGGGUGGACUAGAGGUAGGCAGGGGAGAACGGAAUUCCUGGUGUAGCGGUGAAAUGCGCAGAUAUCAGGAGGAACACCAAUGGCGAAGGCAGCACUCUGGGACGGUACUGACGCUGAGACGCGAAAGCGUGGGGAGCAAACAGG